UACGUAGGGUGCAAGCGUUGUCCGGAAUUAUUGGGCGUAAAGAGCUCGUAGGCGGUCUGUCGCGUCGGCUGUGAAAUCCCGAGGCUCAACCUCGGGUCUGCAGUCGAUACGGGCAAACUGGAGUGUUGCAGGGGAGACUGGAAUUCCUGGUGUAGCGGUGAAAUGCGCAGAUAUCAGGAAGAACACCCGUGGCGAAGGCGGCUCUCUGGAACGCAACUGACGCUGAGACGCGAAAGCGUGGGGAGCAAACAGG
rnacentral:rRNA from 1 species